CUAGCGGGUGGGGCAGACCCUGGGCUAGCAGGCCUCAGGGAGAACUCCAAUGGUGUCUGUGUCAGCACACCCACACCAGGCCACAACAAUGGCCACCGCCAAUGUCCCAGUCCCUGGAGAGGUCUCACCCCUCACCGAGAUGCACUCAGGGCCUAUUAGAAAAUGAUGUAUAAUACACAUCCUAUGAAGAAGCAAUCAAAGAGUAUGAAGACAAAAGAAAAGGAAAAGAAAGCAGUAUUGAGAACCACCAAGAGAGUGUGUGGCAGAACCCGCAUAGUUGUUUAUCAAGCACACAUCAACUUCUUCCUGCACCCAAGGCUAGACUACGUUUGUCAACCUCCU